rnacentral:tRNA from 1 species
AGGGAUGUAGCUCAGUAGCAGAGCAUUUGUCUACCAUUGAUGAGGUCCUGGGUUCAAUCCCCAGCAUUGCCA